rnacentral:snoRNA from 1 species
AUUGGUGUGGUGAUGAUGUCUUAUAUUAGGACUAGAGUUUCUGAUCUGGACUUUUAACCAGAAGUUGAAGACUAACCCUUGGCUGUCUGAGCACCAAU